CUGGAGGCAGCAGUGAGGAAUAUUGCACAAUGGGCGGAAGCCUGAUGCAGCAACGCCGCGUGAGGGACGAAGGCCUUCGGGUCGUAAACCUCUUUUCUGAGGGACGAGAGAGGACGGUACCUCAGGAAUAAGUCUCGGCUAACUACGUGCCAGCAGCCGCGGUAAAACGUAGGAGGCGAGCGUUAUCCGGAUUUACUGGGCGUAAAGCGCACGCAGGUGGCUGGGUAAGUUGGAUGUGGAAGCUCCUGGCUUAACUGGGAGAGGCCAUUCGAGACUGCCUGGCUUGAGGUUGGGAGAGGGGUGUGGAAUUCCCGGUGUAGUGGUGGAAUGCGUAGAUAUCGGGAGGAACACCAGUGGCGAAAGCGGCACCCUGGCCCACACCUGACGCUGAGGUGCGAAAGCGUGGGGAGUAAACAGGAUUAGAUACCCGGGUAGUCAA
rnacentral:rRNA from 1 species